CUAGAUUCAUCAGUGGUGUUAGAUGGGUGAGGAGGGACAGGUUUUCCUUUUGUUACUUGUUUGUUUUUUCCUGUCACGAACUGGAUGAAGAAUCAGCCUACUGAGGGUCUCCACGGAGGUUAAGCAGCAGCCAGUAUUGAGCUAGUAUCCGCUAUCCUUUGGAUCUCCGAUGUCCUUAGAGGCCCAUUGGUAUUUGUCACAGUGAUGAAAAGCUAACACAGAUCCCUCCCCCACUCUUUAAAGAGAAGCACACAAAAUGUUACCUUUGAUUUUGAACUUGGAGAAAAUGUCAGAUAAAUAGGUACAUUGAAAAUAGUCAAGCAGAAGAGUAGUCACUAUUUUACUUGAAUGUGAAGAAUCAUUCAGCUAAUGAACUGCGGUUUACCAAAAGCAAUUUUUCUAAGUAUAAUUUGCUGGAAGCACAGUUCUAAGACAUGGACAUACACCACUUGAAUGCUAUUUGAUUCUUGCUGGCUGUUUAAAGGUCAUAUCAAGUAAUACAAGCAGGAACAAAAAUUCCAGUUCUGACAUUUGAUGUGAGUUUGAAGAAAGUGACUUCUUUGGGGGCUUCAUAAAGAGGUUUAGUGAUCGCUACAAAACCAGGAAUCCAAAUUCUACAGAAGCUGGUCACCCCAAGAAACUCCCUCAGCUGUCUCUUAUCUUGUUCAUCUUCCCUCUUAGCCUGUUCCUUCUCUCUUGCUGACUCUCUAUUCACACAUACCUUUCCUAGCCAAUUGUAGCAACUGUGUUAUAUUCAUACCCUCCCAAGUUUCUUGCUUUUGAAUUUGCCUUCUAAUAUCCUGAGCUGACUGGGUCACAAAGUCAUAUUGAUUAACUGGUGGUUAUCAGGAACAGCAGGAUCAAAUGGUGUAUACAUUCUGUAAACUUUACAGAACUACUCAUAAAAUCUCUCAGGGCUCCCAUUGGGCUCCUACGAUGUUUCUAGCACUUUAAUCAUAUUUGUAGGCCUUUUACUCAUGGCUCGUAUCCCUGCCAGGAGGGCCAUCUGAUAAUUGCUUAAGCUGUCCUGGCCUCCUGGGGUGUUGGGGUUCCAAUCGGGCUGUUCAUUCACUGGAAAUUGCUGUUCAUGUCAAGCAUCUGGAUUUUGUGUGCCUGCUGGCAUUCUAGGAGCAUUGAUCUUUUUAAUUUCUCCUAAAACUGUAUUUCUUUAGAAGUUAACAAAGUUCUUUACAGUCCUCCCAAUUAGGACAAUGGGUAGCAAAGAUGGAAUCAAAUAAUUGAAGCAUUUUGGAGGGGUCUUGGCAGAGAAUAAAUGACCUUCUUUUUCUCUAGA
rnacentral:lncRNA from 1 species